UACGGGGGGGGGCAAGCGUUGUUCGGAAUUACUGGGCGUAAAGGGCGCGUAGGCGGUGCUCUAAGUCGGAUGUGAAAACUCUGGGCUCAACCCAGAGCCUGCAUCCGAAACUGGAGUGCUAGAGUUCUGGAGGGGGUAGCGGAAUUCCUGGUGUAGCGGUGGAAAUGCGUAGAUAUCAGGAGGAACACCGGUGGCGAAGGCGGCUACCUGGACAGAAACUGACGCUGAGGCGCGAAAGCUAGGGGAGCAACAGG
rnacentral:rRNA from 1 species